GCCAGACCUGGAAAUGACUGUGGAAAGCAAGAAGUCCCUUUGAAUGCACUGAGGGCACCAACAUCAAAGGAGGCAGCAGAUAGUGUUUUCUCUGCCCUAAAGACGCUUCGCUGAGGUGCCACCACUGCAGCCUGAAACCCAGGAGGUUCUCGAGAGUCUAAAUGUUUGAUGAUGCAGCAUUUCUGAACUCACGCAGGACCGGCCUGAAGACGCUGACAGCUACAUGACAAAUGGAGGUUUUAGCACAGAAGCAGCAGGACAGGAUCAAAGGGGAUUGUUUCGGCACAGUUUGAUCCAGUGUGGACUGAAAAUAUUGCGUUCAGCAGGAGUGGGAGCAGCAGCUAAUGUGAUGAAAUGAAAGCUGGCAGCUUAGUGAGCUGUGAAGAGGUGAAAGAGAAGAUGAAUAAUGAGGCAGAGAAGAAAAAGAAGGUAAAGAAGAAGAUGAACAUUAACCACUUUCGACUGACUCUUACCUCUUUCUGUCACCAUACGUUGCUU